UACGGAGGAUGCAAGCGUUAUCCGGAAUGAUUGGGCGUAAAGCGUCCGCAGGUGGCUGUGUAAGUCUGCUGUUAAAGAGUCUAGCUCAACUAGAUACAAGCAGUGGAAACUACACGGCUAGAGUACGUUCGGGGCAGAGGGAAUUCCUGGUGUAGCGGUGAAAUGCGUAGAGAUCAGGAAGAACACCGGUGGCGAAGGCGGCAUACUGGACCACUACUGACGCUGAUGCGCGAAAGCCAGGGGAGCAAACGGG
rnacentral:rRNA from 1 species